UCCGGUUUGGCACCGGCAGUCUUCCUAGAGUCCCCGCCAUUACGCGCUGGUAACUAACGACAGGGGUUGCGCUCGUUAGAGGACUUAACCCGACACUUCACAGCACGAGCUGACGACAGCCAUGCAGCACCUUACGAUCUGUGUAUUGCUACAAAACCAGCUUUCACUGGCGGUCAAACCGCAUUCUAGCCCAGGUAAGGUUCCUCGCGUAUCAUCGAAUUAAACCACAUGCUCCUCCGCUUGUGCGGGCCCCCGUCAAUUCCUUUGAGUUUCACCGUUGCCGGCGUACUCCCCAGGUGGAUUACUUAUCGCUUUCGCUAAGCCACUAAAAGUUGCCCUCUAGCAGCGAGUAAUCAUCGUUUACAGUGCGGACUAC
rnacentral:misc_RNA from 1 species